GACGAACGCUGGCGGCGUGCUUAACACAUGCAAGUCGAACGGAAAGGCCCUGCUUUUGUGGGGUGCUCGAGUGGCGAACGGGUGAGUAACACGUGAGUAACCUGCCCUUGACUUUGGGAUAACUUCAGGAAACUGGGGCUAAUACCGGAUAGGAGCUCCUGCUGCAUGGUGGGGGUUGGAAAGUUUCGGCGGUUGGGGAUGGACUCGCGGCUUAUCAGCUUGUUGGUGGGGUAGUGGCUUACCAAGGCUUUGACGGGUAGCCGGCCUGAGAGGGUGACCGGCCACAUUGGGACUGAGAUACGGCCCAGACUCCUACGGGAGGCAGCAGUGGGGAAUAUUGCACAAUGGGCGGAAGCCUGAUGCAGCAACGCCGCGUGCGGGAUGACGGCCUUCGGGUUGUAAACCGCUUUCGCCUGUGACGAAGCGUGAGUGACGGUAAUGGGUAAAGAAGCACCGGCUAACUACGUGCCAGCAGCCGCGGUGAUACGUAGGGUGCGAGCGUUGUCCGGAUUUAUUGGGCGUAAAGGGCUCGUAGGUGGUUGAUCGCGUCGGAAGUGUAAUCUUGGGGCUUAACCCUGAGCGUGCUUUCGAUACGGGUUGACUUGAGGAAGGUAGGGGAGAAUGGAAUUCCUGGUGGAGCGGUGGAAUGCGCAGAUAUCAGGAGGAACACCAGUGGCGAAGGCGGUUCUCUGGGCCUUUCCUGACGCUGAGGAGCGAAAGCGUGGGGAGCGAACA
rnacentral:rRNA from 1 species